UAAGGGGAAGUACAAGGGGUACGAAGAAUUUUGAUUUCUUAUGUGUAGGUUCGAUUCCUACCUUCUUAA
rnacentral:tRNA from 1 species